rnacentral:rRNA from 1 species
GAUGAACGCUGGCGGCGUGCCUAAUACAUGCAAGUCGAGCGAACAGACGAGGAGCUUGCUCCUCUGACGUUAGCGGCGGACGGGUGAGUAACACGUGGAUAACCUACCUAUAAGACUGGGAUAACUUCGGGAAACCGGAGCUAAUACCGGAUAAUAUAUUGAACCGCAUGGUUCAAUAGUGAAAGACGGUUUUGCUGUCACUUAUAGAUGGAUCCGCGCCGCAUUAGCUAGUUGGUAAGGUAACGGCUUACCAAGGCAACGAUGCGUAGCCGACCUGCGAGGGUGAUCGGCCACACUGGAACUGAGACACGGUCCAGACUCCUACGGGAGGCAGCAGUAGGGAAUCUUCCGCAAUGGGCGAAAGCCUGACGGAGCAACGCCGCGUGAGUGAUGAAGGUCUUCGGAUCGUAAAACUCUGUUAUUAGGGAAGAACAAAUGUGUAAGUAACUAUGCACGUCUUGACGGUACCUAAUCAGAAAGCCACGGCUAACUACGUG